rnacentral:rRNA from 1 species
UACGUGAGGGGCGAACGUUGUUCGGUGUCACUGGGCUUAAAGGGCGCGUAGGUGGCUGUGUAAGUAACGUGUGAAAGCCCUCGGCUUACCCGGGGAAUUGCGCGUUAUACUGCACGGCUUGAGGAUCUCAGGGGAAGGGGGAACUCCGAGUGUAGCGGUGAAAUGCGCAGAUAUUCGGGGGAAGGCCGGCGGCGAAGGCGCCCUUCUGGGAGAUUCCUGACACUGAGGCGCGAAAGCGUGGGGAGCAAACAGG